GACGAACGCUGGCGGCGUGCUUAACACAUGCAAGUCGAACGGAAAGGCCCUGCUUUUGUGGGGUGCUCGAGUGGCGAACGGGUGAGUAACACGUGAGUAACCUGCCCUUGACUUUGGGAUAACUUCAGGAAACUGGGGCUAAUACCGGAUAGGAGCUCCUGCUGCAUGGUGGGGGUUGGAAAGUUUCGGCGGUUGGGGAUGGACUCGCGGCUUAUCAGCUUGUUGGUGGGGUAGUGGCUUACCAAGGCUUUGACGGGUAGCCGGCCUGAGAGGGUGACCGGCCACAUUGGGACUGAGAUACGGCCCAGACUCCUACGGGAGGCAGCAGUGGGGAAUAUUGCACAAUGGGCGGAAGCCUGAUGCAGCAACGCCGCGUGCGGGAUGACGGCCUUCGGGUUGUAAACCGCUUUCGCCUGUGACGAAGCGUGAGUGACGGUAAUGGGUAAAGAAGCACCGGCUAACUACGUGCCAGCAGCCGCGGUGAUACGUAGGGUGCGAGCGUUGUCCGGAUUUAUUGGGCGUAAAGGGCUCGUAGGUGGUUGAUCGCGUCGGAAGUGUAAUCUUGGGGCUUAACCCUGAGCGUGCUUUCGAUACGGGUUGACUUGAGGAAGGUAGGGGAGAAUGGAAUUCCUGGUGGAGCGGUGGAAUGCGCAGAUAUCAGGAGGAACACCAGUGGCGAAGGCGGUUCUCUGGGCCUUUCCUGACGCUGAGGAGCGAAAGCGUGGGGAGCGAACAGGCUUAGAUACCCUGGUAGUCCACGCUGUAAACGGUGGGUACUAGGUGUGGGGUCCAUUCCACGGGUUCCGUGCCGUAGCUAACGCUUUAAGUACCCCGCCUGGGGAGUACGGCCGCAAGGCUAAAACUCAAAGGAAUUGACGGGGCCCCGCACAAGCGGCGGAGCAUGCGGAUUAAUUCGAUGCAACGCGUAGAACCUUACCUGGGUUUGACAUGGAUCGGGAGCGCUCAGAGAUGGGUGUGCCUCUUUUGGGGUCGGUUCACAGGUGGUGCAUGGCUGUCGUCAGCUCGUGUCGUGAGAUGUUGGGUUAAGUCCCGCAACGAGCGCAACCCUUGUUCACUGUUGCCAGCACGUUAUGGUGGGGACUCAGUGGAGACCGCCGGGGUCAAUUCGGAGGAAGGUGGGGAUGACGUCAAGUCAUCAUGCCCCUUAUGUCCAGGGCUUCACGCAUGCUACAAUGGCUGGUACAGAGAGUGGCGAGCCUGUGAGGGUGAGCGAAUCUCGGAAAGCCGGUCUCAGUUCGGAUUGGGGUCUGCAACUCGACCUCAUGAAGUCGGAGUCGCUAGUAAUCGCAGAUCAGCAACGCUGCGGUGAAUACGUUCCCGGG
rnacentral:rRNA from 1 species